rnacentral:misc_RNA from 1 species
AAUUUUGCUGUCGGAAGUGAAGGGAAUUUAAUUUCUGCGUAUGCUGUGGUACGGGGUGUUGUUUUGAAAGGAUGGCGGCUGUUGCAUGUUUACAGCUAAAUUUGAAUGCUAUUUUAAAAAAAGUGUCCUCUGAAAAGCUUUUAAAUAUGCUAAAUUCCAUUGAGGGUAAAAAAGAUCUUGUGCUUGAUAAAGAGUUAAUUUCUUCUUUGGAGUAUAUAGUAAAUUUCAGUCAGUUAAAGACGUGUGAAGUAGAAAAAGUAUAUAAAUUAGAACCUGGAUCCACUCCUGGAAACACUCCACAAUGUGUAUAUAUUAUCAGACCAAGCAUUCAAAAGACACAAGUAAUUUCUGAUCAUAUUAAUGCUGGCCUUAGCAUAGGGAAUGUGAAAAAAUAUUGCAUUAUCUUUGUACCCAGAAUGCUGUAUAAAUGUGAGAAGGUCCUUGAAAGAGAAGGUGUGUAUGGAAAUGCUACUUUGUUGGAUUUUCCUCUUGGAUUUUUACCCAUAGAUAAAGAUCUAUUUUCUCUUGAAAUUUCUGACUUUUACAGAAUGUUUUAUUUGAAGAAUGAUCUCACUUACAUACAUACGGCAGCAAUGUCUUUAGUACAGUUGUGCAAGAUUUGUGGGUCUAUAACCAAAAUAUCUGGCCAAGGAAAGUGUGCCAAGAUGGUUGUUGAUAUGAUGAAUCUCAUGAUGAAAGAAUUAAAAUGUGAACCUCCUAGCUCUGACAGUGUAUCCCAUUUAAUUGUGUUAGACAGAGAUAUAGAUUAUAUUUCUGUACUUCUGUCACAACUGACAUAUGAAGGUCUGUUGGAUGAGACUUUCAGGAUCAAUAAUGGUCGUGUGGUAUUUCCCCAAGAAGUUUCUGGAAAAGAUGAAGCUGUGAAAGUUGUUCUUAAUAGCAGUGAUUUGGUUUUUGAAGAAAUAAGAAAUUCAUAUUUUACUAGUGUAUUUGGUUUUCUUCGUGAUAAAGCAAAACAACUUCAAGCUCAACGUGAAAUUACAAAUAUGUCACUUAGUGACAUUAAGCAAUUCGUAACCAAGGAAAUGAAGAGCAUUUGUCAACAGCAAACUUCAUUAUCACUACACAUUAGGGCAUGUGAAGUAAUCUUAGAAGAAAAGAAUGCAGAAGAUUUUCAUAAAAGACUGGGCAUUGAAAGGGACAUCAUUGAAAACCAGAAUAUAAGUGAAUGUAUGAAUUACAUAGAGGAUAUUAUUAAUAAGCAGGAUUCCUACAAAAGUGCCUUAAGAUUAAUAUGCCUAUUAUCCAUUGCUCAAAAUGGGUUACCUUCUUCUGAUUACAGUUCUUUAAUGACACAGUUUCGGCAGAGUUAUGGCUGUAAAUAUAUAGUAACUUUUCACAACUUGGAGAAGACUGGUUUGGUAGUGGAACAAGCAUCUUUGUUACCACCUGGUAAAAUUCCAGAAAAAGGAGCCACUGCCAAAGCUACUAAAAUAGUAGAAAAAGUUGCAACUGCUGUAUCAUUUCCAAGAUAUAGUAAUUUUAAAGCAGUUGUAAGGAAAUUUAAUUUGAUCCCAGCAGAAUCUGAUUCAUCUGAUAUAAAAAACCCAAAAGAUAUGAGUUAUGUUUUUGGGGGAGCAUAUGUGCCUUUAAUUGGAAGAAUAACAGAACAAGUCAUAAAAUAUGGUGGUCUCCACAACCUUGAAGAUGGUUUGAAACUUCUUCCUGGUUCUACAAUAAUGAAUUUCAAAAAAGGUCUAAUAUCUUUUAUUUAAAAAAAAUUUGAAAGUAUAAAGCAAGAAAAAGAUCUUUCAUCAAAAACUGUUAUUGUUUAUGUUUUGGGUGGCAUUACUUAUGCUGAAGUAGCAGCAUUGCGACUUCUGGGGCAAUUAAAUGGCUGCAGAAUAUUUAUAGCAAC